rnacentral:lncRNA from 1 species
CCAGCAAAGGAGUCACAUGAUGGCACUACAAGAAAAAGGUCUGCUGGUGGCUGCCGCAAAUGCUCUAAAUGCAGAUCGAUAAUGCCAGUUUGGACCCAGAGAGCAGAGAGGACAAGAAGGCUGAGUCAGGAGGAGAUCCGGAAAGGCAGUGGUUCGAGAGGAAGGUGUGCAUACAGCUCCUCAGCCUACCUAUCCCCUCAGGCCCACACAAGGAUGCAGAUCAAGCUGCCAGGGAGCCCUUCCUGGGAAACGCAGGAAGAGAAUAAACCAACUGCCAACCUGUCACGGACACAGUUCCUCAUGAGAGCUGGGUGACCAACAAAGCUCCGGCUCUCUGUGACCACAGCCUAGCAUCUCAGCAGGUCCUGACAUGCCUGUCUGGCUUCCAGACUCCCAGACUCUUCCUUCACCUUGCUGAGGUCCAUGCUCCUAGGACAGGGCAUCCUCAUUUUUUUUUGGUUUUUCCUCCUUGUAUUUUUGAGACAGGGUUUCACUGUGUAGUUCUGGCUGGCCUUGAACUCGUACCAAUCCUCCUGCCUCAGGCUCUGGAAUGCUGGGAUUGCAGACAAGCACCAGCUUAGACCCAGCCUCUGGCCUACCGACCAUUCACUAGCUGUGCCACCCUGAGGACUUUAUUAAGCCUGUUGGUGCCAGUUUUGGUGAAGUAAGGAGAAGAAUUCCUGCUUCGAAGAAUUGCCGUAUGGAGUAAAGGAGUUACUGGAGGAAAGCGCCAAGCGUCAAGCUUGCCACACAGCAAGCACUCGAUGAAUGACCCGGCACCUGAUCCCCGAACCUCUCCGGCCCCCAUUAUUCCUUAUCAGGUUGGGCUUUGCACCCCAAAACUUCAGUAGGUAGGGCCAGCUCUGUCGCUGAGAACUUUUAUGCGUGAUGUGG